rnacentral:rRNA from 1 species
UCAACGCUGGCGGCGUGCCUAACACAUGCAAGUCGAACGCGAAAAGGGCUUCGGCUCUUAGUAGAGUGGCGAACGGGUGAGUAACACGUGGGUGACCUACCUUCGAAUGGGGGAUAACGUCCCGAAAGGGACGCUAAUACCGCAUAACAUCCUGCCUUAGAACAGGUGGAGAUCAAAGCCGGGGAUCGCAAGACCUGGCGUUUGAAGAGGGGCCCGCGUCUGAUUAGCUAGUUGGUGAGGUAACGGCCCACCAAGGCAACGAUCAGUAUCCGGCCUGAGAGGGCGGACGGACACACUGGGACUGAGACACGGCCCAGACUCCUACGGGAGGCAGCAGUGGGGAAUUGUUCGCAAUGGGCGCAAGCCUGACGACGCAACGCCGCGUGGAGGAUGAAGGUCUUCGGAUUGUAAACUCCUGUUGCCCGGGACGAAAAGCUCCGACCUAACACGUCGGAGUCUGACGGUACCGGGUGAGGAAGCCCCGGCUAACUCUGUGCCAGCAGCCGCGGUAAUACAGAGGGGGCAAGCGUUGUUCGGAAUUACUGGGCGUAAAGGGCGCGUAGGCGGCCCGCUAAGUCGAACGUGAAAUCCCCGGGCUCAACCCGGGAACUGCGUCCGAUACUGGCAGGCUUGAAUCCGGGAGAGGGAUGCGGAAUUCCAGGUGUAGCGGUGAAAUGCGUAGAUAUCUGGAGGAACACCGGUGGCGAAGGCGGCAUCCUGGACCGGUAUUGACGCUGAGGCGCGAAAGCCAGGG